rnacentral:rRNA from 1 species
AACAAGGUUUCCGUAGGUGAACCUGCGGAAGGAUCAUUGUCG